GUUAAGGCCAGUUCAAAGUUUAGUGUUUCAAUUGAAUGUAUAAAAAUACAUAUUAGAAGAAGACAAAAACAGACCACCUAUAGUCAAGAGUUUUUCUGCCUGGAAAGUGUGAUCAAUUGAGGAUGUGAGAGAAGAGAGAUGUCUUCUCAACUCUUACUGCUUCAUGGAGGUUGAAAACUUUUACAUUUAGCACUGUGAUUGUACUUCAGCCUUCAGGAUUUUACUUAUAA
rnacentral:lncRNA from 1 species